rnacentral:rRNA from 1 species
ACUCCUACGGGAGGCAGCAGUGGGGAAUAUUGGACAAUGGGCGCAAGCCUGAUCCAGCCAUACCGCGUGGGUGAAGAAGGCCUUCGGGUUGUAAAGCCCUUUUGUUGGGAAAGAAAUCCAGCCGGUUAAUACCUGGUUGGGAUGACGGUACCCAAAGAAUAAGCACCGGCUAACUUCGUGCCAGCAGCCGCGGUAAU